ensembl:misc_RNA Metazoa_SRP Metazoan signal recognition particle RNA
GCCGGGCGUGGUGGCGCGCGCCUGUAGUCCCAGCUACUCGGGAGGCUGAGGUGGGAGGAUCGCUUGAGUCUAGGAGUUCUGGGCCGCAGUGCACUAUGCCGUCGGAUGUCCACACUAAGUUUGGCAUCAAUAUGGUGACCUCCCGGGAGCGGAGGACCACCAGGUUGCCUAAGGAGGGGUGAACCGGCCCGGUCGGAAAUGGAGCAGGUCAAAACUCCCGUGCUGAUCAGUAGUGGGAUCGCACCUGUGAAUAGCCACUGCACUCCAGCCUGGGCAAUAUAGUGAGACCCUCUCUAU